CCUACGGGCGGCAGCAGUGGGGAAUAUUGCACAAUGGGCGCAAGCCUGAUGCAGCCAUGCCGCGUGUGUGAAGAAGGCCUUCGGGUUGUAAAGCACUUUCAGCGGGGAGGAAGGCGGUGAGGUUAAUAACCUCAUCGAUUGGCGUUACCCGCAGAAGAAGCACCGGCUAACUCCGUGCCAGCAGCCGCGGUAAUACGGAGGGUGCAAGCGUUAAUCGGAAUUACUGGGCGUAAAGCGCACGCAGGCGGUCUGUCAAGUCGGAUGUGAAAUCCCCGGGCUCAACCUGGGAACUGCAUUCGAAACUGGCAGGCUAGAGUCUUGUAGAGGGGGGUAGAAUUCCAGGUGUAGCGGUGAAAUGCGUAGAGAUCUGGAGGAAUACCGGUGGCGAAGGCGGCCCCCUGGACAAAGACUGACGCUCAGGUGCGAAAGCGUGGGGAGCAAACAGGAUUAGAUACCCCGGUAGUC
rnacentral:rRNA from 1 species